rnacentral:rRNA from 1 species
CCUACGGGUGGCAGCAGUAGGGAAUAUUGCUCAAUGGGGGAAACCCUGAAGCAGCAACGCCGCGUGGAGGAUGAAGGUUUUCGGAGUGUAAACUCCUUUUGUUAGAGAAGAUAAUGACGGUAUCUAACGAAUAAGCACCGGCUAACUCCGUGCCAGCAGCCGCGGUAAUACGGAGGGUGCAAGCGUUACUCGGAAUCACUGGGCGUAAAGAGCGCGUAGGCGGGAUAGCAAGUCAGAUGUGAAAUCCUAGGGCUUAACCAUAGAACUGCAUUUGAAACUGCUAUUCUAGAGUAUGGGAGAGGUAGGGGGAAUUCUUGGUGUAGGGGUAAAUUCCGUGGAGAUAAAGAGGAAUACACAU